CGGGGACGGGGUAGGUAAGUUAAGUUUCGGUAACGGACCGAUGGAGGGGGAUAACUACUGGAAACGGUAGCUAAUACCGCAUAACGUCGCAAGACCAAAGAGGGGACCUUCGGGCCUCUUGCCAUCGGAUGUGCCCAGAUGGGAUUAGCUAGUAGGUGGGGUAACGGCUCACCUAGGCGACGAUCCCUAGCUGGUCUGAGAGGAUGACCAGCCACACUGGAACUGAGACACGGUCCAG
rnacentral:rRNA from 1 species